rnacentral:rRNA from 1 species
AAUCCAUAGGUUAAUGAGGCGAACCGGGGGAACUGAAACAUCUAAGUACCCCGAGGAAAAGAAAUCAACCGAGAUUCCCCCAGUAGCGGCGAGCGAACGGGGAGGAGCCCAGAGCCUGAAUCAGCAUGUGUGUUAGUGGAAGCGUCUGGAAAGGCGCGCGAUACAGGGUGACAGCCCCGUACACAAAAGCGCAUGUGCUGUGAGCUCGAUGAGUAGGGCGGGACACGUGGUAUCCUGUCUGAAUAUGGGGGGACCAUCCUCCAAGGCUAAAUACUCCUGACUGACCGAUAGUGAACCAGUACCGUGAGGGAAAGGCGAAAAGAACCCCGGCGAGGGGAGUGAAAAAGAACCUGAAACCGUGUACGUACAAGCAGUGGGAGCACCCUUUGGGUGUGACUGCGUACCUUUUGUAUAAUGGGUCAGCGACUUAUAUUCUGUAGCAAGGUUAACCGAAUAGGGGAGCCGGAGGGAAACCGAGUCUUAACCGGGCGUUAAGUUGCAGGGUAUAGACCCGAAACCCGGUGAUCUAGCCAUGGGCAGGUUGAAGGUUGGGUAACACUAACUGGAGGACCGAACCGACUAAUGUUGAAAAAUUAGCGGAUGACCUGUGGCUGGGGGUGAAAGGCCAAUCAAACCGGGAGAUAGCUGGUUCUCCCCGAAAGCUAUUUAGGUAGCGCCUCGUGAAUUCAUCUCCGGGGGUAGAGCACUGUUUCGGCUAGGGGGCCAUCCCGGCUUACCAACCCGAUGCAAACUGCGAAUACCGGAGAAUGUUAUCACGGGAGACACACGGCGGGUGCUAACGUCCGUCGUGAAGAGGGAAACAACCCAGACCGCCAGCUAAGGUCCCAAAGUCAUGGUUAAGUGGGAAACGAUGUGGGAAGGCCCAGACAGCCAGGAUGUUGGCUUAGAAGCAGCCAUCAUUUAAAGAAAGCGUAAUAGCUCACUGGUCGAGUCGGCCUGCGCGGAAGAUGUAACGGGGCUAAACCAUGCACCGAAGCUGCGGCAGCGACACUGUGUGUUGUUGGGUAGGGGAGCGUUCUGUAAGCCUGCGAAGGUGG